AGAAAAAGCAGAGUGCAACACUUGCAUAACUAAUAAUGACAAAGAAUUUCCAAAUCCAUUAUUCAUUGAGGAUAACAUGAAACAACACCUCUUAGAGAUAAAGACUUGAUAGAUUACACCCUAGGGCACUAUUUGAGGCAGCCAAAGCAAUCUUUGGCUUGCUAAUCUAGCAGCAGAGCAGUUGCAAAAGACACUUGGCACUUCUUGGCACUUCUCAUAAAAUUUCCACAGUGAUCUGGGCACUUUGCAAUGAUCUGAUCACACCAAUUAAUCAGAGGUGGGGAAGUAAAAAUCUCAGAGGACAACAUUUGCAGAGGAUUUAAAGGCUGGUCAUCAAGCAUAUUUGGAUCACUUUUCAGAUGUUAUUCCUGAAGGCCAGUGCAAAGUAUCUAGGAAUGUAGGUCAACUGUGGUUGAAGACAGGGCUUUAUCCCAUCAAAUCGUGACGGAAAAUGUCUGAGCCACCCUGCAUGAUUUCUGUCACCAGCCAUACUUGAGCACCUGGUUUUAGAGAGUCCAGUACCCUGGGCAAGCUUGCUCUUCAGCUCACCCCCCUCUGAACAGCAUGGAUUUCCUAUGUGUGCUUCUGGCCUUUUAACUACAGCCCUUGGGAUAAUGACCCCUACCAGCAAGGCAGCUCAAACUGCAGAAACCGGGCUCAUCGAUCCAUCCUAAGGCUCACACUGGAUCUCAGCUUCCUCAAGAGCACAGGACCACGUUUUUUCCCACAACACUACAGAUGUUUUCAUUCUCUGGCUCUGCAAUUAGAAAGAAAAGCCUGCAGGAGAGCAGGAGGAUUUUUUGGAGAGGCUGUGUAUUCCUGAACCUCUGGGAUUGGUGAACACUUGCAAUUGGAAAGAUGUAUUCAUCAGAGGGAGCUGCUUCUAGAGGGAUCAUGGUGAACAAGCCCUUCCCUCAUAGCCACUUGGGGUAGAACACGGAUGUAAAAAACCAUCAUCCUUAUGAAAGAAGUGACUGCAGACAACAGACACCAGAACUGAGGCAAGUGAGAGGACAAAAGAGAUAAGUGGCUGAGACACCUGCAGCUUAGCAGGGGGAGCAGCUUCCCUCUUUCAAAUAAAAACAGUACAUGUGUGGUACUUUUGAAAGGAAAAAAAGGAUGUUAAAAGACUAAGUGCAUAAUUUACCUAUUAAGACAGAACGUCUAAUUUGCAUUAUAGUUUUACUGCCAAAUGUGAGUUACUGAAAUUUCUACAAAACCAAAAGGUACCUACACCUCGAAAUGCUAUUUGUUCCCUGGCAUGAGGAAUGCUGCAACACUCAAAAUGCUUCCGCUGGGCAGACAUGGCAGGGAGAGAUUUAGAUCAGUGUGGUGAUGCAACUAUUCAGGCUGACUCCAAAAUUAAACAUGUGUCCAGCCGAUGGUCGUGCAGGCAACUACAUUUAGAGGAUGACAUCUUUUUCAAUUCUUUUCUUAGGAGUGAUAUAAACAAGACUGCAAUAAAUAAAUAAAUCAACUCCUAACCAAGAACAUAAGGGAAUUUCUUUGCAGUAACUGAUAAACUUUUCCUGUGCAAACUUCUUUUCAUAGGAAAGUUACUCUACAAGUUUCUGUGGUGCCCAGUCCCAGCCCUUUCCUUUGGUGCGUGUGAGCCACACGAGAGCACCAGUCAGCCCCACUGCCAGGUCCCAUGGGCCAGCACUCUACAGAGAGUAAAACCUGCUUAAAAUAUUUUCAUAGCUAGGUAAUUUGAAAAUAGGUGAGCAACAGUUAAAGUUUUAUUCUACUAUGUAAAAUGUGAAUCUCUACACAAAAUAAUUGUCUGUCUUAGGAAUAGUGGCCAUAUUCCUCUUUUCCACCCCUGGCAGUUUAAUUUAGCCAGUUUACCUCUUGGAAAGAGUUGUAUGACUAAAAUAAAAGUAAACAACAUUUUGAAGGACUUAAAACAUAUAAUUUUAUUUAAACUAAGUUUGUGUUGUCAGGAUACCCAAAGAAGUCCCAAUGAGCAAGGAGUAUAAUUAAGGCAGUUGAUAGUAUUAUUUCCACCAUAAAUUUUCAUUAAAAGUUUUGUAGUUGAUGCAGAACAGAUGCAUCUAUGAAAAUAGUGUACUUUUCUUCAAAACAACAAAUGAACUUCUGACUGCCCAGGUCACUUAGUUUGUGUACUGACAGACUGGGUUUUCGGUAGUUGACCUUUAUCAGAUUGGCUGACUGACAGCAAUUUGGUCGGUCAUUCUGUUAAAGGCAAAUGUGUAUUUCUUUGCCCCAGAAUAAAAAUGUGAAUUGGUUAAUAGAAUAUCAAGCCCCAUUUCAGUUCUGUACUCUUCUGUUGUUGUAUUGUUGUUUGGCUCGAGUACCUUUAUCCUGCUAUUUAGCUAAAUCACUAGCAAUAAAAUGAAAGAAAAUUUAAAUCAAUAA